AACCUCCGCAAUGUGAGAAAUCGCGACGGGGGGAUCCCAAGUGCCAUUCUUAACGGGAUGGCUUUUCAUUAGUGUAAAGAGCUUUUGGAAUAAGGGCUGGGCAAGACCGGUGCCAGCCGCCGCGGUAACACCGGCAGCUCUAGUGGUAGCAGUUUUUAUUGGGCCUAAAGCGUCCGUAGCCGGUUUAAUAAGUCUCUGGUGAAAUCCUGUAGCUUAACUGUGGGAAUUGCUGGAGAUACUAUUAGACUUGAGACCGGGAGAGGUUAGAGGUACUCCCAGGGUAGAGGUGAAAUUCUGUAAUCCUGGGAGGACCGCCUGUUGCGAAGGCGUCUAACUGGAACGGUUCUGACGGUGAGGGACGAAAGUUAGGGGCGCGAACCGGAUUAGAUACCCGGGUAGUCCUAACUGUAAACGAUGGGACUUGGUGUUGGGGUGGCUUUGAGCUGCUCCAGUGCCGAAGGGAAGCUGUUAAGUCCGCCGCCUGGGAAGUACGGUCGCAAGACUGAAACUUAAAGGAAUU
rnacentral:rRNA from 1 species